rnacentral:rRNA from 1 species
UACAGAGGGGGCGAGCGUUAUUCGGAAUCAUUGGGCGUAAAGCGCACGUAGGCGGUUUUGUAAGUCAGGGGUGAAAUCCCGGGGCUCAACCUCGGAACUGCCUUUGAUACUGCAAAUCUCGAGUCCGGAAGAGGUGAGUGGAAUUCCUAGUGUAGAGGUGAAAUUCGUAGAUAUUAGGAAGAACACCAGUGGCGAAGGCGGCUCACUGGUCCGGUACUGACGCUGAGGUGCGAAAGCGUGGGGAGCAAACAGG